rnacentral:rRNA from 1 species
GAUGAACGCUGGCGGCGUGCCUAAUACAUGCAAGUCGAGCGAACAGACGAGGAGCUUGCUCCUCUGAUGUUAGCGGCGGACGGGUGAGUAAUACGUGGAUAACCUACCUAUAAGACUGGGAUAACUUCGGGAAACCGGAGCUAAUACCGGAUAACAUGUUGAACCGCAUGGUUCAACAGUGAAAGACGGUUUUGCUGUCACUUAUAGAUGGAUCCGCGCCGCAUUAGCUAGUUGGUAAGGUAACGGCUUACCAAGGCAACGAUGCGUAGCCGACCUGAGAGGGUGAUCGGCCACACUGGAACUGAGACACGGUCCAGACUCCUACGGGAGGCAGCAGUAGGGAAUCUUCCGCAAUGGGCGAAAGCCUGACGGAGCAACGCCGCGUGAGUGAAGAAGGUCUUCGGAUCGUAAAACUCUGUUAUUAGGGAAGAACAAAUGUGUAAGUAACUAUGCACGUCUUGACGGUACCUAAUCAGAAAGCCACGGCUAACUACGUG